rnacentral:rRNA from 1 species
GGAUAACGUAGGGAAACUUACGCUAAUACCGCAUACGACCUACGGGUGAAAGCAGGGGAUCUUCGGACCUUGCGCGAUUGAAUGAGCCGAUGUCGGAUUAGCUAGUUGGCGGGGUAAAGGCCCACCAAGGCGACGAUCCGUAGCUGGUCUGAGAGGAUGAUCAGCCACACUGGAACUGAGACACGGUCCAGACUCCUACGGGAGGCAGCAGUGGGGAAUAUUGGACAAUGGGCGCAAGCCUGAUCCAGCCAUACCGCGUGGGUGAAGAAGGCCUUCGGGUUGUAAAGCCCUUUUGUUGGGAAAGAAAUCCAGCUGGCUAAUACCCGGUUGGGAUGACGGUACCCAAAGAAUAAGCACCGGCUAACUUCGUGCCAGCAGCCGCGGUAAUACGAAGGGUGCAAGCGUUACUCGGAAUUACUGGGCGUAAAGCGUGCGUAGGUGGUCGUUUAAGUCCGUUGUGAAAGCCCUGGGCUCAACCUGGGAACUGCAGUGGAUACUGGGCGACUAGAGUGUGGUAGAGGGUAGCGGAAUUCCUGGUGUAGCAGUGAAAUGCGUAGAGAUCAGGAGGAACAUCCAU